UGGGGAAUAUUGCACAAUGGGCGCAAGCCUGAUGCAGCCAUGCCGCGUGUAUGAAGAAGGCCUUCGGGUUGUAAAGUACUUUCAGCGGGGAGGAAGGUGUUGAGGCUAAUAACCUCAGCAAUUGACGUUACCCGCAGAAGAAGCACCGGCUAACUCCGUGCCAGCAGCCGCGGUAAUACGGAGGGUGCAAGCGUUAAUCGGAAUUACUGGGCGUAAAGCGCACGCAGGCGGUCGGUCAAGUCGGAUGUGAAAUCCCCGGGCUCAACCUGGAAACUGCAUUCGAAACUGGCAGGCUAGAGUCUUGUAGAGGGGGGUAGAAUUCCAGGUGUAGCGGUGAAAUGCGUAGAGAUCUGGAGGAAUACCGGUGGCGAAGGCGGCCCCCUGGACAAAGACUGACGCUCAGGUGCGAAAGCGUGGGGAGCAAACA
rnacentral:rRNA from 1 species